GCUACCUCAUUGCUUCGAAGUUCGAAAAACGAUUGCUAGAAACAUGGUUUUUUCAAUGAUAGACGCAGAUCGAGCGCUAUUUAAUUUGGGACCUAACAACGUACGGCAGAGCUACUAUAGCUCCCUGUGAAACACAUGGGAAUUUAGAAGCACACGAUUAAGAUCUCUCGGAGAACUCUAGCUAGCUAGCUACCAUUCUAAUCUCUACUGCUAAUUAAGUACCUAUUGUAGGCGUUCACAGCCAACCGUGGUGCACGUUCUGCCACAUCCAAACCGUCCAACCCGCAUCCAACGCCGCUGCCGCAUCCCGCGUCGCUCCCCCACUCGUCCCUGCCGCAGCCCCCGCGAUCCCCUUCCCACGCAUGGCGUUCCUGCCGCAGCCCCCGCGGUCCUUUCGGUGUUCUCGCUUCUAGCGACGACGGCGGCGGCCCAGGGAAGGUACCGCGCGGUGUUCAGUUUCGGGGACUCGCUGGUGGACGCCGGCAACCUGGUCACGGAGGGCAUCCCGGACUACCUCGCCACCGCGCGCCCGCCCUACGGCCAGACCUACUUCGGCUACCCCACCGGCAGGUGCUCCGACGGCCGCCUCGUCGUCGAUUUCAUCGCGCAGGAGUUGGGCCUCCCGCUGCCGCCGCCGUCCAAGGCCAAGAACGCCAGCUUCGCACAGGGCGCCAACUUCGCCAUCACCGGCGCCACCGCGCUCGACACCGACUUCUUCCGGAAGCGAGGGCUCGGCAGCACCGUGUGGAACUCCGGCUCCCUCCGCACGCAAAUCCAGUGGCUGCGAGACCUCAAGCCAUCGCUCUGCAGCUCCGCGCAAGGCACACGAUGCAAGGAGUUCUUCGCUGAGUGCCUGUUCGUCGUAGGCGAAUUCGGUGGGAACGACUACAACGCCCCGCUGUUCGCCGGCAAGGACCUCAGGGAGGCAUACAAGCUGACGCCCCACGUGAUCCGAGCCAUCUCCGAUGGAGUCGAACAACUGAUUGCCGAGGGGGCAAAGGAUUUGAUCGUGCCCGGAGUGAUGCCAUCAGGGUGCUUUCCGGUCUACCUGACCAUGUACGUUGACCCCAAGGAAGGGCAUGGCUCGCGCACCAGCUGCCUCAAGCGGUUCAACACUUGAAUUGAAGUGCAUCGAGGUUCCUCAGGCAUGGCUCGCGCACAGCUCACAUGAAACGUUUGGUCGGGGAGCACGACAGCUACUUACGUGGCACGACAGGGGGCGCCUGCGUGCCAAUCGCCCUCAGCGGCUCGAGGUUCCUCGCACUUCAAUUCACAGGUUUGGGCGGAUUGGCAGGUUGGUCUUGCGAAUUGCAACCAGCAGAGAUGAUAUUGAAGUCGUGGCUGUGAAUGACCCUUUCAUUGAUGCUAAGUACAUGGUGAAGACAAUUACCUAUCCUCUGCAAUCCAACUAUAUGUAGAGAUCGUCAUCAAAAGAAACCUCAGGCUUUGUAUUCAACAGGACCUUUACAAACGACUAACUUAGAUCGGCGAGAGUAGAGAAUAAGGCAAGGAUCUUUGAGCAGAAUGCCACUGAUAGUGAGUGCAAGGUCGAUCCUAAAGUGCUCUCCAAGCUAUAUGAUCCGUGAGUGAUGCCACAGACCAAGGAUGUCGAAGUUGAGUACCUCCUGCGCUGCCUUGACUAAUCACCGAUUAGCUAUAGCUGUAAAUUUUAUGUAUGCAUGGUUUCAGUUGCGCUCGAACCAAUUGUCUUGACCUUGAAUGGACAUUUUGAUGUUUAUUUCAUCUGAUGUGUCAUGUUUCAUGACGUAGACUUUCGUUUCUUGUGAUUGAUUUAUAGUGAACCUGUAAGAUGUAAAAUAACCUUUAUGACAGAACCAGCUGCAAGAAUAGAGUAUUUUGAGGAACCUUUGUUGAAGUAAA